rnacentral:rRNA from 1 species
GAUGAACGCUGGCGGCGUGCCUAAUACAUGCAAGUCGAGCGAACGGACGAGAAGCUUGCUUCUCUGAUGUUAGCGGCGGACGGGUGAGUAACACGUGGAUAACCUACCUAUAAGACUGGGAUAACUUCGGGAAACCGUAGCUAAUACCGGAUAAUAUUUUGAACCGCAUGGUUCAAAAGUGAAAGACGGUCUUGCUGUCACUUAUAGAUGGAUCCGCGCUGCAUUAGCUAGUUGGUAAGGUAACGGCUUACCAAGGCAACGAUGCAUAGCCGACCUGAGAGGGUGAUCGGCCACACUGGAACUGAGACACGGUCCAGACUCCUACGGGAGGCAGCAGUAGGGAAUCGUCCGCAAUGGGCGAAAGCCUGACGGAGCAACGCCGCGUGAGUGAUGAAGGUCGUCGGAUCGUAAAACUCUGUUAUUAGGGAAGAACAUAUGUGUAAGUAACUGUGCACAUCUUGACGGUACCUAAUCAGAAAGCCACGGCUAACUACGUG